rnacentral:lncRNA from 10 species
CUCAUAGAGACCUGUUAAUGAGGGCUCUACAUAACCGCAGAGGAUUUAAAAAUGGAAAAGGGAGGCCGAAGAGGAGAGUCAGAGAAAGCCGUGACUGUAUGGGAAUAAUCAGAAAGAUGCAAAGUUGCUGGCUUUGAAGACGGAGGAAGGAGACCACGAAUGCAGGUACGCUCUAGAAGACAGAAAAAUCAAGAAAACAGAUUCUUCCCUAGAACCUUCAGGAAAGAAUGCAGCUCUGAGAACGUGUUGAUUUUAGCUCGGUGAGAUCUAUGUGCAACUUCUAACCCAUAGAACUGUAAAAUCAUGAAUUUUUGUUGUUUUAAGCCAGUUUGUGGUAAUUUAUAACUAUAGUAAAAGCAACAGAAAAGUAAUACAUCUAGGAUUCUAAAAGACUAGAUUUAUUAUUCUUAAUCAAAUUGUGUUUACAGUUUAGUCAAAAAUACUACUACCCCAUUGAAUUAACCCAACUUAAUGUGUGACUUUUAUUUCUUACGCAUUGAUUAUACAUUUAAAAAAAAUCCCUCCCCACGAGGUCGACCUACCUCUAUUAUGAAAAUCUUUUGAAUAAAAGCCUAAGUCUAAUUGAAAUCACCAUUUGCAUCUUUAGAAUACCAA